UGCCCUUUUGUGGUAAACAGCCGCUGUAUUUUGACGGUGCUAAGGUAGCGAAAUUCCUAGCCUUUUAAUUGGAGGCCUGCAUGAAUGGCUUGACGAGCGCCUGACUGUCUCUCUCCCACAUGUAGUGAAAUUAACUUUUGUGUGCAAAGGCACAAAUAAUUGAGUAAGACGAAAAGACCCUGUGCAACUUUACUAAGAAAAGAGGGGUUACCUACUUGUAGUUUAGCUGGGGCAGCUUAGGAAAAGAUAAAACUUCCUUGAAUUUAAGAUACUGGUAGGUUUGGAUCCGACGUAAUUAUUGUGUAGGUCGAGUAGCAGAAAAGUUACGCCAGGGAUAACAGCGUUAUCCUUCUGUGGAGGUCUUAUCUGCAGGGGGGAUUGCGACCUCG
rnacentral:rRNA from 1 species